rnacentral:rRNA from 1 species
UACAGAGGUCUCAAGCGUUGUUCGGAUUCAUUGGGCGUAAAGGGUGCGUAGGUGGCUCGAUAAGUCGGGUGUGAAAUCUCGGAGCUUAACUCCGAAAUUGCAUUCGAUACUGCCGUGCUCGAGGACUGGAGAGGAGACUGGAAUUCAUGGUGUAGCAGUGAAAUGCGUAGAGAUCAUGAGGAAGACCAGUGGCGAAGGCGGGUCUCUGGACAGUUCCUGACGCUGAGGCACGAAGGUCAGGGGAGCAAACGGG